rnacentral:rRNA from 1 species
UGGGGAAUAUUGCACAAUGGAGGGAACUCUGAUGCAGCGACGCCGCGUGAGUGAUGAAGGAAUUCGUUUCGUAAAACUCUGUUCUAUGGGAAGAAAAGGACUGUACCAUAGGAGAAAGCUCCGGCUAAAUACGUGCCAGCAGCCGCGGUAAUACGUAUGGAGCGAGCGUUGUCCGGAAUUAUUGGGCGUAAAGGGUGCGCAGGCGGCUUUACAAGUUGGAUGUGAAAUAUUGUGGCUCAACCACAAACGUGCAUCCAAAACUGCAAAGCUUGAGUUAAGGAGAGGUAAGUGGAAUUCCUGGUGUAGAGGUGGAAUGCGUAGAUAUCAGGAGGAAUACCGGUGGCGAAGGCGACUUACUGGACUUAAACUGACGCUCAGGCACGAAAGCGUGGGGAGCAAACAGG